CAGCAAGAAAAAAGAAGCAAAUGACAUGAUGCAAAGGAGCUCUAAUUCAUCUGGCAAGAAACUUCACUGGAAACUACGCAAGCCAAAAGGGAGUGUGACAACAUAUUCCAAGUGCUAAAGAAAAAAAAUUACCAACCCAGACGACCCAGCAAAAAAACAUCACUAAGGCAUCUGGAGUAGUACUCAUUCUCAGAAUCUGCUGGUUUCUGAAAGAUUCGGGUUAAAUGUGACAGAGGCUCUUUAUGAACUCAGCCCACCACUAGAACAUUAUUCAGAUGCCAGCUUCAUUCUUCUUGUGAGCUAGCAGGGAUGAUUAAAAAUAAU
rnacentral:lncRNA from 1 species